rnacentral:rRNA from 1 species
AGAACGAACGCUGGCGGCAUGCCUAAUACAUGCAAGUCGCGCGUGAAAGUCCUUCGGGACGAGUAAAGCGGCGCACGGGUGAGUAAUGCUUAGGAACGUGCCCUCCGAUGGGGAAUAACUACGGGAAACUGUAGCUAAUACCGCAUAAUGACGUGAGUCUAAAGCAGCCCUCUAUUUAUAAGGUUGCGUCGGUGGAGCGGCCUAAGUCCCAUUAGCUAGUUGGUAGGGUAAUGGCCUACCAAGGCGACGAUGGGUAGCUGGUCUGAGAGGAUGAUCAGCCACACUGGGACUGAGACACGGCCCAGACUCCUACGGGAGGCAGCAGUAGGGAAUUUUGCACAAUGGGCGCAAGCCUGAUGCAGCAAUGCCGCGUGAGUGAAGAAGGCUCUUGGGUUGUAAAGCUCUUUCGGCCAAGAAGAAGGGACCACUUGCGAACAGUCUGUGGUUUUGACGGUAUUGGAAGAGAAGCACUGCUAACUUCGUG